AAUACGAGGCCGAGGGAGGAAUUCUGUCGUCUGGGAACGGCUGGUUUCGCGGUCAGACGCCGAGGGCCCUCGAAGUCCCUAGCAACGGCUGCGGAGGGAGAUUCCACCUAGGUCCGUGCAGGUUACAAAUGGCAACCAGAACAGGGACUCCAAGCACGCCCAACUAGCAGCAUCCAAACAUGGGACUUCAAGGACGUGAAUGAAGAAGGUCUGCUGGAGCAGAGGAACUGAAAUUGACAAGGCGAAAGGGGACCCUGGGAAGAGUCUGCCGGCAGCAGAUAUAAGGUCAGUGCCCUAAAGAGGUACUGGGAGCAGUGCUUUAAAGAAGUACUGGGAAGUUUUCUGACUCAGGGUAACAAGGGAAAGAAUUUGUCUAUUGAAGAAAAACAUUAUGUGCAGUUGCUUAAAGUUCUGUUGAGACAGUCUGCAGCUCAGGUUAAUUCGCAGACACUAACCUCCUGCAGAAGCCACAAAAGGUUAUUACACAUAACCCAUCGUUUCCACAGGCAGGCACUCUUGAUGUGGAAAAUUGGGAUACAGCAGGAGAAGGAUUAAAACAGGCUCAUCAAAAAGGUCU
ensembl:lncRNA ZNF350-AS1 ZNF350 antisense RNA 1